UUAAAACAUUAAACAUUUUUUACCGAUCCUUUUAUUUUAUAAUAUUUUAUGAAUAACCAAAUAUUAGUUUUGAAUUUAAGAAAGUUUCAAAACUUGAUAAAUCUAACUUAACUUUAUCGAAAUCUAAUCAAAAAUUUUAAUUCAAUUUUAUUUAUUUACUAUGCAUAUAUUAUAUAAAUUUUAUAUUGUGAUUUGUUUGUGAUUUCAUAUGUUUUGUAAAUGUAAUUUUUAAAGUUGCUUUAAAAUUGAAACUUUCUUAAAUUCAAAAAAUAUAUUUAACCUAUAUUGUCAAAUAUUAAAAAAUAUAAGAAUCAGUAAAAAAUUAUUGAUGUUACGAAAAGAUUUAGUCAUAUAUUUGCAUAAAUAACAACAUUAAUGAUUUAUUUUGAAAGAUGAAAGAAUUAAACGCAGGAGGUUCAAUCAUGAAAACAUCAAGCGAUACGAUAUAUAUUUUCUUCUGAUGCAAUAAUCGGGGACACAAAAGGUUGUCGUAGUUAUAAUGCUUCGAAGGGAUUAAGCGGCUGUAUGAGUUCGAAUAAUACGCCGUAUAAGCAUAAACUUGUGGAAUAGUCGAAAACAAAAGCUUGAAAUCGGUUGGUGGUCACGCAUUAUUCUUUAGAACCUUGUAUCAGUGUCAUUGGAUUAUUUAUAGUUAUAAAGGAAUUCACGGUGCGGUUAAACUGGGCCGAUGGUGAUUAUUGGAAAACUGCAUAUCAGCAAGGUCACAUCAACGAGUAUCUAAGCAUUAUAAUUAAUGAUGAGAGAAAGAGAGAGAGAGAAACAAAAAAGAUGGAAUUUCUGUUGCGAAAGAAUGAUAAAAAAUUCGAAAAUGACAAAAUGUCGGAAAUGACAUCUAUUAAUAAUACAGUUAUUUACGGAAACAGAACAUACGAUGAAAAAAUUGUAGCUAUCGUCAUCGUUAUAUUUAUUCACACGCAGUAGUUUGAAUUGCUCUUUAGUCGCGUAUUGCAAUUUAUGUUAAUAGCAUUAUCAAUUUGUACACUAGAGUAGAUACUUGAUAAAAACUUUUGUUAUAGA